UGGGAUUCCAAUCGUCUUCUUCUUCAUCUGUCUGUUCCUCGUCGUCUUUCCUAUAGUGGAGCGCCCCGUGGAGCUGGGUAUCGCCAGUGGCAUCUUCUUCGCUGGAGUCCCCGUGUAUUACCUGUGUGUUCAUAGGGCGAAUAGGUCCAAGAAGUUCUGUGCAUUUAUGGGAAAAUUUACGUCCGUUAUCCAGCUGCUGUACCAUGGACUUCCCGAAGAAGAUGAUGAAUGUGAUUGAAAAGCUUAUUGUUAAGAUAUUAUUGACAAAUGAUGAUGAAUGGCAUCAAGGAAAGAACUGUAAUUGGUGUAAUUUGAUUUAUAACUUUACGUAAUUACAUGCAAUAACCAUAAUAUAUAUCGAGAUGCGUGAAGUAGGCCUACAUCUGUUUUGUGAAUUUAAUAAUUCUCAUUUAUUUCUUUAUUCAUCUUACGUGAGAAUUAAAGAUCUGGCGUAGAAUAAUUAUAAGAUUGAAGUAAUUGUUGCAGUAUUAGUGAAAUUUCUUUCUCAUUAUUAUUAGUAUUUUUUUUUCUUUUUAAUAGUAAUAGAAGUAGCAGUAAAAGCAGCAGUAGUAGUAGUAACUGUAGUAGUAGUAGUAGUAGUAGUAGGUUUUUUUUAGUAGUCGUAGUGGUAUUAAGUUAGAUUUAAGAUGAAUAUUUGCCUUCACUUAUUAUUUGAAGCUUCUUGUUACUUUUGCCUUUGAGAAAUCUCUCUAUAUUUCUACAAUUCCUUUCUAUAGUUCAAUAGAUAUUACGUAUUGUCUCACAUUCCAGUGUAAGUGUUCACCAACAUAUGGCUCAUAAUACUUAAUGUGAAUAAGUGUAUAUAAACUUCACAUAUGCUGGACAGUUAUCGUUUUAGAUAACUUCCCACUACACGAGCAUCUUGUGUAGGGAAAGGCUAGAUCAGUAGCAACUCGAGGAGGUGUCAUGGCGUCUGAUUCCAU